GUCAGGCCAGAUGGAAGCGCUCUCACUCUGGGAAGCUGCUUGAGGAGAGCAGUCCAGCUACUUGGAUGAGCUGGAAGCCUGACUGGUGGUGGGAACCCUCAUAAGCUGCAGACUGGACAGACAGACAUGGAUGAUGCACUCCAUAAAACACUAAUUCUUACUGGCACUGGUUGGCAUAUUAAUCAAUACUUGCUAAGCAAUUCGCAGAAGCGACCGCUGAUGGACUGAGGUAGGCUGGAUUUAUCUGACAAUGCCCAGACUUGGAACUGUUCGGCUGGAUGGUUCCACACAGUGGGCUUGAUUCACAAAGGUACGUAAGCUUGGGGACACUGACAUCCCCACACCUAACUUUGAGGUGCUUUGAAAGUCAGUCUGAUUCAUGAAGACUGAGUUCAGCCCUUGGGCUCCUAUACAAUGGAAAAAAAAAGAAAAGAAAAGGUGCUUUAGGAUGGGAUUCACUAAAGCCAACUAGGUGGUGCCUCACCUAAGAUAUCAGACCCCCCUCAGCUAGGCACCUCCCAUAGGUGCCUAAGUCUGG